rnacentral:rRNA from 1 species
UCGACGAUGAACCACUUCGGUGGGGAUUAGUGGCGAACGGGUGAGUAACACGUGGGCAAUCUGCCCUUCACUCUGGGACAAGCCCUGGAAACGGGGUCUAAUACCGGAUACCACUACCGCAGGCAUCUGUGGUGGUUGAAAGCUCCGGCGGUGAAGGAUGAGCCCGCGGCCUAUCAGCUUGUUGGUGAGGUAAUGGCUCACCAAGGCGACGACGGGUAGCCGGCCUGAGAGGGCGACCGGCCACACUGGGACUGAGACACGGCCCAGACUCCUACGGGAGGCAGCAGUGGGGAAUAUUGCACAAUGGGCGAAAGCCUGAUGCAGCGACGCCGCGUGAGGGAUGACGGCCUUCGGGUUGUAAACCUCUUUCAGCAGGGAAGAAGCGAAAGUGACGGUACCUGCAGAAGAAGCGCCGGCUAACUACGUGCCAGCAGCCGCGGUAAUACGUAGGGCGCAAGCGUUGUCCGGAAUUAUUGGGCGUAAAGAGCUCGUAGGCGGCUUGUCACGUCGGGUGUGAAAGCCCGGGGCUUAACCCCGGGUCUGCAUUCGAUACGGGCUAGCUAGAGUGUGGUAGGGGAGAUCGGAAUUCCUGGUGUAGCGGUGAAAUGCGCAGAUAUCAGGAGGAACACCGGUGGCGAAGGCGGAUCUCUGGGCCAUUACUGACGCUGAGGAGCGAAAGCGUGGGGAGCGAACAGGAUUAGAUACCCUGGUAGUCCACGCCGUAAACGGUGGGAACUAGGUGUUGGCGACAUUCCACGUCGUCGGUGCCGCAGCUAACGCAUUAAGUUCCCCGCCUGGGG